CUAGAUUUGAAAAGAGUCGAAACCUGAUAACAUCGUGGAAAAAAAGAAACUUAACCAUUUUAGGUAAAAUUCUAAUAGUUAAAACUCUCAUUAUACCACAAUUUACUUUUUUAGCAAAUGUUACAGCUUUAAGUAACUCAAAAAUAGUUGAUAUAGAAAGAGAAAUUUUUUUAGUUUCAUAUGGAAUAAUAAGAAAAGACAAAGUUAAAAGACAUACUUUGGUAGCAGAUUACAACCAGGGAGGGCUUAAAAUGACCGACAUAAAAAGCUACUUCUCCUCUCUUCAAAUAAGAUGGGUCUCUAGAUUGCUACAGGCAAAACAAGAAAAUUGGACAUUGAUACCAAAAUUAUUUUUAAGUAAAUUAGGUUCUAAUUUCCUCAUUUUUAGAAUGAAUUUAAA
rnacentral:lncRNA from 1 species